rnacentral:rRNA from 1 species
AGUUUGAUCAUGGCUCAGAUUGAACGCUGGCGGCAGGCCUAACACAUGCAAGUCGAACGGUAACAGGAAGCAGCUUGCUGCUUUGCUGACGAGUGGCGGACGGGUGAGUAAUGUCUGGGAAACUGCCUGAUGGAGGGGGAUAACUACUGGAAACGGUAGCUAAUACCGCAUAACGUCGCAAGACCAAAGAGGGGGACCUUCGGGCCUCUUGCCAUCGGAUGUGCCCAGAUGGGAUUAGCUAGUAGGUGGGGUAAC